GCUUCUGUAGCUCAGUGGUAGAGCAUUCGUUUAGUAAGCGAAAGGUCUUGAGAUCAAAACUCAACAGGAGCA
rnacentral:tRNA from 1 species